rnacentral:lncRNA from 1 species
GUGAUUUCUUAAGUCUCUGCUCCCUCACAGCCCCUGAAGCAGGUGCUGCAGUGCGGUUUAUGCUCCUGGAGUGAGGACACAGCCCUGUCUGGGGAGCGGCUUUGCGGUCUGCUUGGCUGGGCCAUUGGCGAGCCUCUGCCCUUCAGUGCUGGCAGCCACCUGAGCCCUGGUGUCCUGACGUCACCUGGAAGGACACAGCCCACAGGCUGAUGGUAAAAAGGUGGAGGGAGGUGAUUCUCAUGCAGGACUAGCAUGGUGCUUCCUGUGCCUGUGCCCAAGGAGGGCACAUGUUGCUGUAAAAAAGAGAAACUGGAUAUUUGCCUGGGAAGUUUUCGGGAGACUCUGCCAGGAAGAAGAAAAAAGGAGCAGGAGAAGAAGGAAGAGGGGCAAGGAAAAGCACAAAUCUCUGUGGGGUCAAAAAUGAGUAAGAACAAAAAUGGCUUUGGCGUAGCUUUCGCAACAAUCACGGUGCACCAGCCAGUUUUUCAAACCCAGUGAACUUUCUAAUGGCAUUAGGAGAAGUUCACUGAGCUUGGCGUUGGGAGAAUUUAUAGUAUUCUUGGAAAGGGUUUUCAAACAUUCUAGUUUGAAAAGAAAUAAAAUCAACAAUCUUAUUUGCUCUGUACUAUUUGCCUUUCUGUCCUACUUAUUCAUGCAGUCUUAAUUUAUAAAAACAAAUGGAAACUGCACUCCUUGGGUCUCCAGAAAUACUGGGCCUUUUGCUGUGCUUACUUUCAGCUUCACAGCAACCUUGAGGGAGACAUGGUUACUUCCAAUCACAAAGGGAGCAACCAAGUCUGGAGCCAUCUCGGGAGUCUUCCCAAGCAACCACAGCUUGUUGGAAGGGCAGGUUUUGAACCCAGGUCCCCAUGACCACAGGGCAGUCCAGAAGUUCUUGGAGUCUUGGAAUAGGCACCAAAUCCCCCAGUGAGAACUCCCGAGUAGAAGGCUGGGUGUCUGAACAUUGAGCCAGUGCCCACAAGGCCAGUGUGUCUGGGCUAACGCUUCCCAGCCCGGGGCCACCGUGUCCUCCGUGAGGCCAGCAGAGCAGCCUCCACAGACCGCCCACCGCACACCCAAGGACAGAGACGUGCCCUGGUCACAGGUCCACGACAUCGCCUGUCCCAGUUUGGCUGUUGCUUCCUCUUGCCAGGCAAGCCCUCUGGCUCUUCUGGCCAGGGUUAUUUAUAGCCCUGUUGUAUUUGGUUUGCCAUGGACGCCCUCCAACUCCCGUCCAGUGUCAGACAACCCGGGUGCGGAAGCCAGGUGAGCACUCGAAGGCGGGGAAGGCAGAGGAAUCUCCAGCAGAGGUUUCCGUGGUGAGGAGGAAGCCAGGCUGCCAGCCCUCCAGCCAGAGGAGAGCCCCACCCCUCCCCUCCCGGAGCUCUCCCUCCGGGGCUUCCCACCAUGCUGCUUCCCACACAGGUGGGAGCCCAGAGGCAGGUUUGGGGGACCAGGGGACAGCAGAGGUGCCGGGUUGUGGGCAGAAGUGAGGGCGUGCUGCUCCCUGGGCAGCUGUGUGGAUCUGGGUGGCAGAGGCUGGGAGGAGGAUGGGAACAGGGUCAGGGAAGUCCAACAGCUCCGUCCCCACGCUCUGGCCUGGAGAAGUGUUUUGCGGGUAAAUGGAGUUGAGAAGGAUAAACUAAUAAAUGAAGAUGAACGAGUGAGCUGUGUGGAUGAAUGAACCCCGGCGGGUUCUGUCUGCAAGUAGUCCGGGGUUAGAUUGUCAACUACUUUGUAUGUACCUGUGCUUGCAAGCUGCUUUAAGAAAAAUAACAAUGUGUUUUCUUUCCCCGACGAUGUUUCAUGGUUCAAAAGCAUUUCCACAUGUACUGUAUCAUUUGCUGAAAACACAUGUGAUGAACAGGAUUUGUUCUCCCAGCUUUAUGUACAGACUAAGAAAUCCAGGACAGGACGAUGAAGUGAGGGUCCCACCGUGGGUGAGUGAAGCAGGAUUUGACUUCCUUCUGUCUCUGUGGUGUUCAACUUUUACUUGAAUGGAUCUCAUAGUCACACGAUUCAAAAUUCAAAAUUGUCACAGCCUUAAGAAGACCUACCUCUGCCCCAUCCACUCUGGCCACCCUUCUUCCAUGAGCAAAAGACAUCAGGCUGUGCACCCUGCUUCAUAGUUUUAUAUGUUUUGCAGUUUGCUUUGGGUUUUUUAAAACUUUUUUAGUUUUAAGCUUUUAAUAGUCCCCAAAACCAAAUAAAAUCAGUGUUUCAGCCAGAGCACCAUCACUCGAUAAGACUUUUGAGAAUACCCACGCCUGUCCCCUCCUGUAGUCCUACAAGUUUUCCAUCACAAUGACCGCGUGACAGCAUCCGCCUGCGAAGUGAAGGACAGGAGAUGUGCAGAAAGCCGCCUCUCUCGCGUCAGUGUGCGCACACCAGACACGGGCAGCGUCCCGGCAGUCCCGCGUGGAAGUGCAUGACGCUGUGCUCUAAACGCAGAGAGCUCAUCAGUGCGGGGGAGCCUCCUCCCGCUGUCCACGGCUGCGCGGCCCUGCCUGCGUGUGCGUCCCUCAGCACGCGCUCCCACUUCGCCUGCGAAGGGAGCUGAGGCCCUUCCCAUGCAGACGAGGGCCGUGGGCAGCCGUGAGCACACUGCAGCUGCUUCUGUCCGAUGAUUCUACAAAGCAAAACCCGGGCCAAAGGAUAAAAACACUUACAAUUAAAUCAAAUUUCCACGUCUCCACAUAAGAGUUCGUUUUACUUUAAUCUGUUACAUAUGUAGAACUGUUGGUUUCCCAGUAGAUUCGCCAACAAAUUUCUAUUGUUAAAUUGAAUUUUUGCCAAUAUGAUUGUUUAGACUGAUUGUUUAGUAUAGUUUUACUUUGGAUUUUUCUUCCAUACUAUAAAUUGGAAUUUUUUGGUCAUUUAUCUUUUGAUUUUUGCUCAUAAAGUUCUUUUUUAUUUGAUAUUUGGACUUUUUACAUUUUGGGUUGCCAAGAAAUUUAAAACAUAUUUUAAAUGCUAAGUUGGAAAGGUCUUCCUUAAUGUAAAGAUAUAAAGGAAUUAAUUCAUAUUUUCUUCUAGUAAUUUAUUUUUCGUGUGAUGUACCUUCAAUUGCUUUGGAGUUUAUCUUGGUAUCAAGGGUAAGGUAGAGCCAACUUCAUCUUUCUCCAGGACAACCCCAUGGUACUAACAAUAUUUAUGCAUCUUUAUUUUUACCUUUUGGUUUGUUGUCAAGCAGGCUGGCCUGGAACCUGCUUCUUCUUGUCUCAGGUUCCUGUAGCAGGAUUACAGACAUGCAUCUCCAUGAGGGCCGAUGCUAUUUAUUUUUAAAUAUUUUUUGCCCUGAUUUCAGUGCUUAUGCACUGAUUUGUCUCAGUACUGGGGAAUUUUUGAAACCAGAUUUUCCGAUACAGCAAGUCUAAUUGUAUUUCUUUACCAUCCUUUUCCAGCUGAAAUAACAUUUGUCUUAUUAAUCAGGACCUUUUUAUGUCACAUUUGCAUAGAAGAAUUGGGAAGGAGAUGCCUUUAUCUUCCACAUAAAGGAAGUAAUAUUAAGGAAAUCUAUUUAUAAGCCUGGAAGAAAAAUAAUUCUCCAGAUAUUAUUGCUAGAAAAUCUGAGACAACAGCAUUUUCCUUCAUUUAUAAAGAUGUUGCCAAGUGACUUCCUGCCACAUGGGAGGCAUUCUCCUCAAAGUGGUCCGGGGGUCAGGGGACCCCACCAUCCCUGAAGGGGAGACGAACCCGAACCCUAGAGCACACAAACCUAUGGAGCACAAGCCUCCUGCUGCUGCACACGGCCCACUCGAGCGGGCGACUGCAAAGCCUUCACCUCAAAAAAGAAAAAUAACCAACGUUUCCAACGUUUUAUCAACCAAGCGAAAGGCUUCUGCGGGCAUACGUGUCUACAGUUUCACCGGCGUUCUGGCAGCCAGCCGCACUUCCCAGGCAGGUGCAGCUACCCCCUGAGACUGAAGUGGACGGUGUCAUUCCUGUGUCAGGAUCAGCGGUGGGACCCAUCUCCGAGUGACAGCCAGGUGGGCCCAGUGUCUCUCCCCCCACAUCCACCUGAGCUCAUCAGGGUCCCCGGCCUCCCAUUGCUCUGCUUUUCUGUCCCCUGUCGCUGCUGGAACAAAUCGCCAUGAACACCAAGCCACCGCCUUAGAGGGCUUGAGGAAGGAAUGUAAGUUCUCCACAGGGAAUGCAGCUCUUGAGAAGAAAUGGGUUUACUACUCCCCGUCCAUCUUCCAAAUGCAAGACUAGAAAGGGUUUGCUCUUCAGCCACUAAACAAAUUCACGCUCUUCCCAUUGCCAGAAGUAAGAGAGGAGCAAUGGACUUCUCCGGUCAAUCAACGAGCCGAACCUUGCUGCAAAGUGUUGCCUGCAUAUCCGACCUCAGGUGGGAAGGAAGCCAUCCUCCUCUGGGGCGUGAUGUAAAUGAUCAGCAACACCAUUCUUUCGGGAGGGCUGCUGGUGUGCUGAGAGCGCAGCUCUGUUUUCCACAGUACCAAGAGGUGUUUCCCAAAGUGGGGGCCGCUUUCCACGGGACACGAGAUGGUGCUGCGUUGGGCCGGACAAUGUGGGUUGAACACCUGCAUUUAUUUUAACACCUAUUAGGACAACACCAGUGCUUAGUUUUCCAGAUGCCACUGUUUAGGGUAAACCGAGUUAAGUACAAGACUCCAAUCUGGGGCCAAGCAAACUAGGGACAUGGUGGCACAGGUGGUUCGGUGGGUGUGGAAGGAGCCCGGAUGCAGAUGAAGCAUCUUCAAAGGAUGUGGCUCAGCCCUCUGCAGCUAAAAACCACCCAGCCGUGUAUGCCACAGGUAGAGGGGACUUCGGACCACGGAGCCCAGCAUGGCAAUGACAAUCUUUGCUAAGUUUUCAGUCUUUCGUGGUUGUCAUUGGUAGUAUUCUAUUAAUUGCCGAGGUUGUUCCUUUAAAGAUUUACACCAACAAUAGAAGGAAGAUCAAGAGGGAACAGCUAAGUCAUGGACUCAACAGCAAGUGUCAACCUUUCACCGCGUAAUGAAUUCUGUUUAAGGCUACCAUCAAGACGGUCCCUGUCAGCUAAGGUAGGAACUAAGAAACUAAUGAGAGCAAUCAGAUUUUUAAAUGCUUUACGUACCACUGGAAUUUAUGUCUUAAUUUAAUUGCCGAAUUCUUAAUCUGAUUAGAGCCUGUAAAGGAAUAAAAUUGGAUUUGGAAAAAAUAGAUAAAAUAAGUUUUCCUUUACAUAUUCACAAGUCAUCCCAAACUGCAUGUUUCUUAUAAGAUUAAUACAAAUGUUUUAGCUCAUUUUCAUUGCAUCCGAGCAAACACAUUAUCUCCCAGGAAACAGCAUGGAACGAUAAUAUGCAGCACAUCCAGCCAUAGAAGAAGUUCUUGAAUAUAAAGUCAUCUGGCUAAACUGCCUGGAAAUGAGCGGGGUCACAGUCACGGAGAUGAAGCUAAAUGACAUCGCGUUUCUCCCAUGGCUCCCAGGACAUGAGAUUCUCACUACCAGUGGGACCGGCUUAUGAGUCUCUGUCCACUAGAUGUUUCUCUGGCUUCUGCAGAGUGUUCCCAAAUCAUUUCAUUCACUCACCAAAUAUUUAUUCAGUGCCUACUGUGUGCCAGGCACUCACUGUUCCAGGUGCAGGGGCACCGAGGCCGAAGCGAAGAACAUUAAAGUCUCUCUGAGAUGCAGCUCCUAGUAGACAUGGCCAACUUCCCAUUGUAAACUGUGCUUCUUCAAUGUGUGAUUUUUAAAAAGAGGCUCAAAAAUGGUCUUACACAUUUAAGAGGAUGAUAUGACAAGGAAUAGGGUUAGAAAGGGGAGGUCAUAAAAUUCAGUUAGACAAGGUGAAAAGCAAGACCACAUUGGAGCACAAGAAGCAACACACAUGCAGAGACCGAGCAGAGGCCUGGAGCCACACCAGCCCCGCUCAGGGCUUCAUGUCCACUAGCUCCCUCAUCUUCCCGGCACCCGGAGAGCUGGAACCCUCCUACUACCUGCAUUCUACAGAAGCGGAGACUGAGCUCGGAGUAACUGCCUUGUCUCACACCGUCCCACACAUGGCAGCCAAGAAGAGAGCUGACCAAGGAAGUGAAGACGAAGCAGCCUGGGCCCACUGACCUGGUGGGAAGCGGGAGAGAGACAAACUGUGGCGAGCUGGAAACGCUCGGGAUCUUACUUCAGGGGCCGUUUUAAGUGGACUGCACGCAUGGUCCUUCUGUCCCCAGAGUCGAGGAUGCCACAAGCCUCUGACUCUAACACCAAGACCCGGAACCCACCACAUGAUAGAUCCAGCUGUUCCCUGAAGCAGCUAUUGAGUUUUUAGCGAUAUCUAAAAUACAAGCUCUUCUGAAGUUGGGAAAGUUAAGGCAGAGCCUUCGCAUUUUUCUCUCAUCUAGGAAGCCAGAUCUCUGUGGGGAGGGGAGAAAGCGCCGGUGGGUGGCCAAGCUCGGAGUCUGUCCUGUGUGUUCAUCGUCCCCAGUGUGGCUGGCCUGGGGCGGUCUCUCUCCACGCUGGCACUCGUCCGCUGCCUCCUCCUCUGACUGUGCUUGCAGGAGCUGUGUCCAGUGCAGAAUCAGCAGGGCCCUUCUGACAUGCUCCGGGAAGGCUGCUCAGCCCUGCCCGAGCCCACUGUGCUGGGAUGCCGGAUUCCCUCCAGCCUGCGUACUUCCUGGGAUUCGCCAGAAAGCAGACCUGGGCAGGCAGGGCCAGCCCUGGCACCUCUAGGGGGUGGGGCAGCGGCUAGGUUUUGGGUUCUGGGCGCUGAGAACAAUGGGAAGCGAUUCGAUCGCAGGCCCAAGCCACGGCCUCCACACGCCAGCAGGGCUCUGGGGCUGAGGGACAGACACAGGCCCACUCGGAGAGCAGCCUGUGUACAACUGCAUGGGCCCAGUGACCUUCCCGCCCACGCCAGCCGUGGGCUCUGGCGGUGUCUGUUCCCGGUCCGAGCAGGGACCACGGCCCUCUCAUCCACGCGAAAGAGAUCACUUGCCAAAAAGCAUGUGUUUUGCUAGGGAAAGAUGAGCAGCUUUAGUCUCGCGGAAGUGCCAUGCACUCCACCGUCGCCCGGUGCCUCUCGGCCUCAGCUCGGGUCUCCUCCGCCUCUGGCCUGCACCAUCCAGCCCUCCACACCUCCCUGGUCCUGCCAGAGUAUUCCCAAAUUCCAGGUAUUCCCAAAUCUCCUGCUUCUUCUCCCUUUCGUAAGUAGAACAAAUGAACUCUGCUCCUGAGUCACUCUGCUAUGGCUCAAAGCUAACCUGGCAAGCAGGACCCUGAGCAGUGACCAGACAGGCAGUGGGGCUGCGUUCACAGGUCGGUCUCUGCUGUCCUCACCUCCUGCCUGCCUCCCACCCUCACCUGCCUGCUAUGAGGCCUGCAGCUUCUGGCCUAGUCCUCCCACGCAGGCCAGGCUGUCCUCCCUCAGGGACGCCUCCCCAUGUCCUGCAGGAGCCACCAAGCGAGACUCCAUCGUCCUCUUCUGCCUCAGCUCCUGUGCAUCCCCAUCUGUGUGGUUGCCUCUCUGCCUAUGCAGCUGGCGAGGAGGGCCAGCCAUGCUUCCAGGAAACUCAGCCAAGAACCUCCCUGCAGACAGAGUUGCCCGGGCCAGGUCCCUGAUGACAGUCCUGAUCCUUGUCAGGAACAUGGAGACCUCGGUGUCCCAAGCCCCCUGGGUUCAGGACCCGGAGCAGCAGCGGGAGGAGGAGCAGGG